rnacentral:rRNA from 1 species
UACGAAGGGGGGCUAGCGUUGCUCGGAAUGACUGGGCGUAAAGGGCGCGUAGGCGCUACUAAGUCGGACGUGAAAUCCCCGGGCUCAACCCGGGAACUGCGUCCGAUACUGGAAGGCUUGAAUCCGGGAGAGGGAUGCGGAAUUCCAGGUGUAGCGGUGAAAUGCGUAGAUAUCUGGAGGAACACCGGUGGCGAAGGCGGCAUCCUGGACCGGCAUUGACGCUGAGGCGCGAAAGCCAGGGGAGCAAAGCGGG